ACCAUACAAGGUGUCUCUCUGUGCUUCCAUUGUUUCAGUCCAUCACUCUCUUCUCCCAUUCUCCUCCCACACCACACCAUGGUCUUCUAGCUUCAAACUAGUGGCUGCUCAGCAUCUCUCUGCUUUGCUUGGUUUCUUUCUUCCUAUAUUGCUGGAAAAAAAAUUUAUGUAAAAAAGGUCUGACAUGGCGGAGAAUAUUGCUUAUGCCAUUUUGGGGAGAAUUGGAAAAUAUUUGGUUGAUCCAAUUGUGCUACGGUUGGGAUAUCUAUUUUGCUUCAACAACAACAUUGAGAAUUUGAAAGAUCAAGUGCAGAAGCUUGAAACUAUGCGAGAUGGGGUGCAAGUACAGGUGGAUGCCGCCAGGAGAAACGUAGAGAUUGUCGGAAAUGAUGUUGAAGAGUGGAUGACUAGUGUGGAUAACAUCAGGGAAGUGGCAGACAGAAUUAUUUUAGAAAAAACAGAAAUUCAGAAGGGAUGUUUGAAUCUGAAGUCACGUUAUGCGCUGAGCAGGAAAGCAACAAAGAGGACUCAAGUUGCUGUUGAGCUAAGACAAGAUGGAAAAUUCGAGAAAGUAUCAUGCUCUGCACUUCCAAUGGGGAUAGAAUCUCUAUCCUCGAGGAGUUUUAAGGAAUUUGAGUCCCGAGUGUCAACUAUGAAUGAGAUCAUUGAGACUCUAAAGAAUGAUCAGGUCAGCAUGAUUGGGAUAUGCGGGAUGCCAGGUGUGGGCAAGACAACAAUGGCGAAGGAAGUUGCCAAAAAAGUGAAAGAAGACAAUCUGUUUGAUGAGAUUGUGAUGUCAGUUGUAAGCCAAAAGCCAGAGUUGAGUAAGAUUCAGAGGGAUAUUGCAGAAAUGUUGGAUCUGCAACUUGAAGAGCAAAAUCCUAUUGUCAGAGCUGGCCGGCUACGGAAGAGACUAGAAAACAAUAAGAAAAUUCUUGUGAUAUUGGACGAUGUUUGGGCAGAAUUUAAUGUGGAGGCCCUAGGAUUUCCUCUGGGAGGUGGCAGUAAAGGUUUCAAAAUACUUUUCACAUCCCGAAAUCGAUAUCUGUGGAGGAGAGUACAAACGAAAAUAGAUAUCUCACUUGAUGUCUUACACGAGGAGGAAGCAUGGAAUUUGUUUAGGGACAAGGUAGGAAAUUCUGCUACAAAUCCUGAUCUGCAAUCAAUAUCGAAAGAAAUUAUGGAGGAAUGCGGACGUUUACCUCUUGCACUGGUGACUAUUGGAAGUGCACUCCUAAACAAAAGCAAGCAUGUAUGGAGUGAUGCACUUCUUCAACUAAGAAUGCCUUGUUCCAAAAGCAUUUUGUCAGGAGUGCCUGCAAAUGUUUAUCGGUCUAUAGAGUUGAGUUACACUUAUUUAGAGGAUGAGGAAGCCAAGUCAUUGUUUCUGCUUUGUUGCUUAUUUGAAGAGAAUUAUUAUAUUCCCAUCGAAGAUUUGGUUAGAUAUGGAAUGGGGCUACGGUUGUUUGAAGGCAUCAAUGAACUAGGAGAAGCAAGAGAUCGAGUAUUUGUGUUGGUUGAUCAACUAAAGAGCUGCAAUUUGCUGUUAGAAAGUGACAUAGACAAUUUCAUUGAUAGUGUACAAGGUGAGCAUGUUAAAAUGCAUGAAGUAGUUCGUGAUGUUGCCAUAUCCAUUGGAUCCAGGGAUAAGCGUGUACUUGUGAUAAGUGAUGGCCUCAAACUGAGAGAGGGACCAAAGAAGGACAUGCAUGAGCACUACAAUUGCAUUUCAGUGAUAACGGAGAACACUAGGGAGCUUCCGGUGGGGUUUAGAAGCUCAAAACUUGAGUUGUUACGGUGCACAAGUCUUUCUUCAAGAAUGCCGGAUAGUUUCUUUGAGGGGAUGAGAGAACUCAAAGUUUUAGAUGUGCGGUGCAUGAUGUCUCGAUGGACACCUUUAUCACUUCGAUUCUUGAGGAACCUUCGAACAUUGUGUCUCGAUUAUCGCUUGGUGGGAGACAUAUCUGCAAUUGGAGAGUUAUUGAACCUAGAAAUACUCAGCUUUCGUGGUUCCCUCAUCCAGGGUUUACCAGAAGAAAUAGGAAAAUUGAUUAAUCUAAGGUUGUUGGAUUUGAGGAAAUGUAUAUAUCUCAGUAGAAUAUCACUGGAUGUCAUAUCAGGCCUGGCCAGAUUACAAGAACUGUACAUGAGAGACAGCUUGUUUGGUAAUUGGGAUGGUGAGGAAGAUAUAGGAGGCAAAACAAAAAUGAGAAAUGCUAGCCUCAGAGAGCUUGAGUCAUUGUCCAAUUUGAAUACUUUAGAGAUCAAAAUAAGAGAUGCAAAAGCUCUUUUGCCAAGAAAUUCCAGAGCCCUCUUUGGGAACCUGACGAAAUACACAAUUUUAAUAGGUAGCGAUUGCGACUGGCCAGUGAGAUGCCAACUCCAAAAGCAACUGGUACUCAAUCUUGGCACUUGUGUUCCUUUAGAGUAUGGGAUCAACUGGCUGUUAAAGAAUACCGAACUUCUUUGUUUACAAGGGGAGGGUUCAAAGGAUAUGGUAGAUGAGUUAGUUCGAGAUGGAGUUGAAGGACUGCAGCACUUGAAGUCUCUCUCAAUUCGUGAUUGUGAUACACUGGAAUGUGUGGUUGAUACAAUGAAUUGGAUUAUGCCUACUAAUACUGCUCCUGCUGUUUUUCCUAUUCUGGAAAGCUUGGAUAUUCAUUGUCUGCCUAGCUUGAGAGAUAUAUGUCUUGGCCAGUUUCCAGUGGGGUCCUUCAGAAAGCUAAGAGCAGUGAAGGUAUCACGUUUACCUGCUUUGACGCAUUUUCUGGUGGAGGGUCCAGCUCAAACUCAUGUCUGCCUCAGCUACCUGAGAUUCAUUGACGUGCAUCUUUGUUCUAAAUUGCGAAAUCUGAUUCCACUAUCAAUCGCAAGAGGUCUCGCGCAACUCCAAGCUCUUAACAUAUCUUGUUGUGAUAUGAUGGAAGAAGUUAUUUGGAAGGAAAGAGGAGAUGAUAGCAUUGGCAAUGCAACCACUGCGAAAAAGAUUGUGUUCCCCAAUUUAGAAGAAAUGCAGCUUGAUAGACUUCCAAAGCUCGCUGGUUUCUGUAGAGAGAUUGAUGAGAUCGAGUUCCCUCAAUUGAAGAAAUUGCACGUUGAAGGUCUACCACAAAUCAAAUGCCCCUUCCCCAAUAACAGCCAUAUGUCAUCAGAUUCAGAAGGAAACCACAAUGCUUUUAUGCAAUCUAUUUUCCCCCCAAAGGUUGCAUUCCCUAGCUUGGAGGUGCUAGAACUUGAGUUUCUUGACACUUUGGAAGGUUUGGCACAGGAUCCACUGCCAGUGGGGUCUUUGUGUAAACUUAGAAAAAUUAAUGUAGUCAACUGUGAUGAACUGGUAAAUGUGGUUCCAUCAAAAUUGCUGGCGAGGCUGCGAAAUCUUGAAGAACUCACUGUAGAGGACUGCAGGUCAGUGGAGAAGGUAUUUGACUUGGAAAGGUUGGAUAUUAAGGAAGGAGAUUCAGAUAUGCUCUCUCAAUUGAAAUCUGUCAAAUUAAUAUCUCUACCCAAACUGAACCAUAUUUCAAAGAGAGAUCUUAUUGGAUUUAUGUAUAUUCCGAGACUAAGUACGCUGCAUGUUCAUGAUUGUAAUAGCUUGAUGUAUCUAUUCUCACCAGCCAUGAUGAAAAGCAUUCCACAACUCCGAGAAUUGGAGAUAAGAAGAUGUAAGAUGAUGUCAGGAAUUGUUGCAGAAAGCAAUGGGAAAGGUGAAAGUUCAGUCCACAAAAUUGAGUUCCCUCAAUUGAAACUUUUGCGUCUUUAUGAUCUGUCAAACCUUGUGAGUUUCUUUCCCAAAGUGAUUGAUACUGUGGUUGCAACAAAUGGCAGCCUUCAGAACUCUCUUCAGCCUCUCUUCAAUGAGAAGGUUGCAUUUCCUAUAUUGGAGGAAUUGGAACUUGGUGGAUUGCAGAACACAAAUGACAUAUGGUGCAGCCAACUUCUGCCUGGCUCAUUCCAUAAACUAAAAUUAAUGUGUGUUUCAAAUUGUGGCAGUUUGCGAAGUCUAUUCUCUCCUUUCAUGGCCAGAUAUCUUGUGAACCUUCAAAAAUUAAUCAUCUUGACAAUGGAGGAAGCAGUUGCAAAGGAGGAAGAUGAAGUCAGAGGUACAGGAAAGAUUUAUAAAACUCUAUUCCCUCAGUUGAACCAUUUGGAACUCAGAGGUCUACCAAAGCUUGGGAGCUUUUGCCACGUUACUCAUGACUGGGAAUUACCAUUAGUGGAGUAUGUGCAUACCCAUAAUUGCCCUGAAUUGAAGACCUACUCACCUGGAUUCCUACGCUCCUCAAACAUACAACUUGGAUCUGGAGAAGAAUCGGCUCAGAUGGAUCACUUCAAAAACACCUUGCAAUACUUUUCUGGAAAGAUAUCGGGGCAUGAUGGGGGAACCGGAGCCAGCCCUAUAAGUUCCAUUAAGCAUGCAGGUGGUCGUUGGGAACUUGGGCUUACAACGCAUCAGACACUAAUUGAAAAUGGACUGAGAGAGAGGGCCAUUCUUAGAGUUGACGGAGGCUUCAAAAGUGGGUUUGGUUCUGUAGCAAUGAUUGCUACUGGAUGUGUUAUGGCUUGCAUCUGUCACACAAAUAAUUGUCCGGUUGGUGUUGCCAAUGAGAGGGAAGAACCACGACCUUGUUUUCCUGGCUUGCCUGGUGAUCUUGUCCACUUCUUUCCAUAUGUUGCUGAAGUGAUAUCAGAUGCAAUUGAGAAUAAGAAAGUUGUCAAUAAAACCAUAAAGAUAUACAAAGUGGACCGUGCAGUUUGUGGGCAUAUAGCAGGUGUAGUUGCAAAGAAAUAUGGUGACAAUGGUUUUACUGGGCAGCUGAAUAUAACAUUCUUGGGGAGUGCUGGACAGUCAUUUGCUUGUUUUCUGACACCUGGAAUGAACAUUCGGCUGGUGGGAGAAGCUAACGACUAUGUGGGAAAGGGUAUGGCUGGAGGGGAAUUGGUUGUAACUCCCGUUGAGAAUACCGGGUUCGGCCCCGAGGAAGCCACUAUAGUGGGAAAAGAAAAACCACAACCCACAUUAUGGGGGUCAACCUUUGCCUCUUAAUUACCUAACAAAGGUAAAUAAGGAAAUUGUAAAGAUCCAGAGAGUGGUUGCACCUGUGGGGCAGAUGCAGCUAAAGAACCUGAUUGAAGCCCAUGUUGAAAAAACUGGGAAUGGCAUAGGCUCUUCUAUUUUGAAGGAGUGGGACAAAUAUCUACCGCUAUUUUGGCAGUUGGUUCCACCUAGUAAAGAAGACACCCCCGAGGCUUGUGCAGAGUAUGAGAAAACUGCUUCUGAGACGGUGACUUUGCAGUCUGCUUAGAAGAUCAGCACCACACAAUACACACAGUGCAGUUGUAUAUAAAGUUUCAACCACACCGAUCAUGGCCAAAGCAGGGAUAGAUUCUAUGAUGGAAAUUCUUACUAAUUGAUUGGAGCGGUUUGCAGGUGACUGAAAUUUCGUGAUCAUCUUAUUACUUGGUGACUGAGACCUUGAUUGCUUCAUUGAAAAGCAAUCGAGUUUCCUGUACAGUGAUGGUGUGCACACUGUAAAUUUUAGGUAGCUGUGAUACGUUAAUUUUUAGUUUUGUUGGGUAAUAUGCUUUCAUGGCUUGUUUGUCCGGUAUUUUCUUAAGUUUUUCUAGUUUUAUUCAAGGAUAAAGCAUAUCUGAAUCUGAAAUUCUCGAUCUUGCUCCCUAAUUUUCUUUCCCUCUCUGGUUGUGCAAGUCUUGCACUUGUGACUGAACAAUGGUGUAAUUUAUGUAUCUCAUAAUUGUAAUAUACAUGCAACUAGCUA